rnacentral:rRNA from 1 species
GUGAGGAAUAUUGGUCAAUGGGCGAGAGCCUGAACCAGCCAAGUAGCGUGAAGGAUGACUGCCCUAUGGGUUGUAAACUUCUUUUAUAAAGGAAUAAAGUCGGGUAUGUAUACCCGUUUGCAUGUACUUUAUGAAUAAGGAUCGGCUAACUCCGUGCCAGCAGCCGCGGUAAUACGGAGGAUCCGAGCGUUAUCCGGAUUUAUUGGGUUUAAAGGGAGCGUAGGUGGAUUGUUAAGUCAGUUGUGAAAGUUUGCGGCUCAACCGUAAAAUUGCAGUUGAUACUGGAUAUCUUGAGUGCAGUUGAGGCAGGCGGAAUUCGUGGUGUAGCGGUGAAAUGCUUAGAUAUCACGAAGAACUCCGAUUGCGAAGGCAGCCUGCUAAGCUGCAACUGACAUUGAGGCUCGAAAGUGUGGGUAUCAAACAGGAUUAGAUACCCCUGUAGUCC